CGGGACGGGUGAGUAAUGCUUGGGAAUCUGGCUUAUGGAGGGGGGUAACUACGGGAAACUGUAGCUAAUACCGCGUAAUAUCGAAAGAUUAAAGUGUGGGACCUUCGGGCCACAUGCCAUAGGAUGAGCCCAAGUGGGAUUAGGUAGUUGGUGAGGUAAAGGCUCACCAAGCCGACGAUCUCUAGCUGGUCUGAGAGGAUGACCAGCCACACUGGGACUGAGACACGGCCCAG
rnacentral:rRNA from 1 species